AGGAAUGUAUAUGUGGCUGAUCUCACAGAAGAAGUUGUUUAUACACCAGAAAUGGCUUUGAAGUGGAUCACAAAGGGAGAAAAGAACAGACACUAUGAAAUCACAAAGAUGAAUCAAAGGAGCAGUCGUUCUCAUACCAUUUUUAGGAUGAUUUUGGAAAGUAGAGAGAAAGGUGAACCCUCUAAUUGUGAAGGAUCUGUCAAGGUGUCCCAUUUGGUGAGUAUUGGUAAACCCUGCU